rnacentral:rRNA from 1 species
UACAUAUGGGGCAAGCGUUGUUCGGAUUCAUUGGGCGUAAAGGGUGCGUAGGCGGCAUGGCAAGUCAGGUGUGAAAUCCCGGAGCUCAACUCCGGAACUGCACUUGAUACUGCCGUGCUUGAGUACUGGAAGGGAGACUGGAAUUUACGGUGUAGCAGUGAAAUGCGUAGAUAUCGUAAGGAAGACCAGUGGCGAAGGCGAGUCUCUGGACAGUUACUGACGCUGAGGCACGAAGGCCAGGGGAGCAAACGGG